rnacentral:lncRNA from 1 species
GUUCCAUACUAGAUAGACGGAGAGACGUGUAGUUCCAUACUAGAUAGACGGAGAGACGUGUAGUUCCAUACUAGAUAGACGGAGAGACGUGUAGUUACAUACUAGAUAGACGGAGAGACGUGUAGUUCCAUACUAGAUAGACGGAGAGAGUUAACGUGUAGUUCCAUACUAGAUAGACAGAAAGAUUUAACGUGUAGUUCCAUACUAGAUAGACGGAGAGACGUGUAGUUCCACACUAGAUAGACGGAGAGACGUGUAGUUCCAUACUAGAUAGACGGAGAGACGUGUAGUUCCAUACUAGAUAGACGGAGAGACGUGUAGUUCCAUACUAGAUAGACGGAGAGAGUUAACGUGUAGUUACAUACUAGAUAGACGGAGAGAGUUAACGUGUAGUUCCAUACUAGAUAGACGGAGAGACGUGUAGUUCCACACUAGAUAGACGGAGAGACGUGUAGUUCCAUACUAGAUAGACGGAGAGAGUUAACGUGUAGUUCCAUACUAGAUAGACGGAGAGGCGUGUAGUUACAUACUAGAUAGACGGAGAGACGUGUAGUUCCAUACUAGAUAGACAGAGAGACGUGUAGUUCGAUACUAGAUAGACGGAGAGACGUGUAGUUCCAUACUAGAUAGACGGAGAGACGUGUAGUUCCAUACUAGAUAGAUACAGAGAGACGUGUAGUUCCAUACUAGAUAGACGGAGAGACGUGUAGUUCCAUACUAGAUAGACGGAGAGACGUGUAGUUCCAUAUUAGAUAGACGGAGAGACGUGUAGUUCCAUACUAGAUAGACGGAGAGACUUAACGUGUAGUUACAUACUAGAUAGACGGAGAGAGUUAACGUGUAGUUCCAUACUAGAUAGACGGAGAGACGUGUAGUUCCACACUAGAUAGACGGAGAGACGUGUAGUUCCAUACUAGAUAGACGGAGAGAGUUAACGUGUAGUUCCAUACUAGAUAGAUGGAGAGGCGUGUAGUUACAUACUAGAUAGACGGAGAGACGUGUAGUUCCAUACUAGAUAGACAGAGAGACGUGUAGUUCCAUACUAGAUAGACGGAGAGACGUGUAGUUCCAUACUAGAUAGACGAGAGACGUGUAGUUCCAUACUAGAUAGAGACAGAGAGACGUGUAGUUCCAUACUAGAUAGACGGAGAGACGUGUAGUUCCAUACUAGAUAGACGGAGAGACGUGUAGUUCCAUACUAGAUAGACGGAGAGACGUGUAGUUCCAUACUAGAUAGACGGAGAGACGUGUAGUUCCAUACUAGAUAGACGGAGAGACGUGUAGUUCCAUACUAGAUAGACGGAGAGACGUGUAGUUCCAUACUAGAUAGACGGAGAGACGUGUAGAUCCAU